GGAAGGAUCAUUACUGAAUUGUCAACAUGAAGUUGUUGCUGGCCCUCGAAUGGGGGCAUGUGCACACUCUGUUUACACAUCCACUCACACCUGUGCACUCUCUGUAGUACUGUGGUCUGGGGGUUCUGUCCUCCUACUGUGGUUCUGCGUAUUUACACACACACUGUAAUAAAGUCUCAUGGAAUGUAUGUCGCGUUUAACGCAAUGAAAUACAACUUUCAGCAACGGAUCUCUUGGCUCUCGCAUCGAUGAAGAACGCAGCGAAAUGCGAUAAGUAAUGUGAAUUGCAGAAUUCAGUGAAUCAUCGAAUCUUUGAACGCACCUUGCGCCCUUUGGCUAUUCCGAAGGGCAUGCCUGUUUGAGUAUCAUGAACACCUCAACUCUCAUGGCUUGCCAUGAUGAGCUUGGACUUGGGGGUUUUGCUGGCCUGUGGUCAGCUCCCCUCAAAUGCAUCAGCUUUCCAGUGUUUGGUGGCACCACAGGUGUGAUAAACAUCUACACAUGUGGUUCCCCCACCAUAUAACCUUCAGUGAUGGAGGUUCGCUGGAGCUCACAAAUGUCUUUCCUCAGUGAAGACAGUUCUUUGAUUGUUUGAUCUCAAAUCAGG
rnacentral:rRNA from 1 species